AUUGAACGCUGGCGGCAGGCCUAACACAUGCAAGUCGAACGAGUGGCGGACGGGUGAGUAAUGUCUGGGAAACUGCCUGAUGGAGGGGGAUAACUACUGGAAACGGUAGCUAAUACCGCAUACCAUCGGAUGUGCCCAGAUGGGAUUAGCUAGUAGGUGGGGUAAAGGCUCACCUAGGCGACGGUCCCUAGCUGGUAUGAGAGGAUGACCAGCCACACUGGGAAUGUGACACGGUCCAGACUCCUACGGGAGGCAGCAGUGGGGAAGAGUGCACAAAGGGCGCAAGAGUGAUGCAGCCAUGCCGCGUGAGUGAAAAAGGCCUUCGGGUUGUAAAGUACUUGCAGCGAGGAGGCGUUACUCGCAGAAGAAGCACCGGCUAACGUCGUGCCAGCAGCCGCGGUAAUUC
rnacentral:rRNA from 1 species